rnacentral:rRNA from 1 species
AUUGAACGCUGGCGGCAUGCUUUACACAUGCAAGUCGAACGGUAACAGGCCUUCGGGUGCUGACGAGUGGCGAACGGGUGAGUAAUGCAUCGGAACGUGCCCAGAGGUGGGGGAUAACGCAGCGAAAGCUGUGCUAAUACCGCAUGUGAUCUGAGGAUGAAAGCGGGGGACCAAGCAGCAAUGUUUGGCCUCGCGCCUCUGGAGCGGCCGAUGUCAGAUUAGGUAGUUGGUGGGGUAAAGGCCUACCAAGCCGACGAUCUGUAGCUGGUCUGAGAGGACGACCAGCCUCACUGGGACUGAGACACGGCCCAGACUCCUACGGGAGGCAGCAGUGGGGAAUUUUGGACAAUGGGCGCAAGCCUGAUCCAGCAAUGCCGCGUGCGGGAAGAAGGCCUUCGGGUUGUAAACCGCUUUUGUACGGAACGAAAAGGCUCUGGCUAAUACCUGGGGCUGAUGACGGUACCGUAAGAAUAAGCACCGGCUAACUACGUG